GUCGUGAGAUGUUGGGUUAAGUCCCGCAACGAGCGCAACCCUUGUCAUUAGUUGCUACAUUCAGUUGGGCACUCUAAUGAGACUGCCGGUGACAAACCGGAGGAAGGUGGGGAUGACGUCAAGUCCUCAUGGCCCUUAUGGGUAGGGCUUCACACGUAAUACAAUGGCGCGUACAGAGGGUUGCCAAGGAGCGAUCUGGAGCCAAUCCCACUAAAGCGCGUCGUAGUCCGGAUUGCAGUCUGCAACUCGACUGCAUGAAGUCGGAAUCGCUAGUAAUCGCGGAUCAGCAUGUCGCGGUGAAUACGUUCCCGGGUCUUGUACACACCGCCCGUCACACCAUGGGAGUGGGUUUCACCAGAAGCCGGUCGCCUAACCGCAAGGGGGGCGCCGACCACGGUGAGAUUCAUGACUGGGGUGAAGUCGUAACAAGGUAGCCGUAUCGGAAGGUGCGGCUGGAUCACCUCCUUUCUAAGAUGGCGCUACUCAGUGCCCACCCUCUAUCGGCUGUUCCUUCGCGAAGCGCGGCGAGUCCGAGCCUUUUCAAUUCGACCUCAAGCUGGGUCUGUAGCUCAGUUGGUUAGAGCACCGUCUUGAUAAGGCGGGGGUCGAUGGUUCGAAUCCAUCCAGACCCACCAUCGGACCUGGCAGCUGCUCUUUAACAAUCCGGGAUAGAAGGUAAAGUUGUUUUCGUCUUGCGAGGCGCGUCGUGGUUUGGCGUGCGCGAGCGAGGCGAAGGCUAACUGGGUUAUGUAUUGCAUCGUGUCUUCAUUGGCGAGAGCCGGUGGGGAUGCAAGCACAAGCGUGAGAAUUUCCUAUUUCGUUGUGAUGCCUUGGGGGACUUUGCCCUGGGGUGCUUCGUGGUUUGAGGCAGCAAGGUUAUAGGGUCAAGCGAAUAAGUGCAUGUGGUGGAUGCCUUGGCGAUGAUAGGCGACGAAGGACGUGACAGCCUGCGAUAAGCUGCGGGGAGCCGGCAAAUGGGCUUUGAUCCGCAGAUUU
rnacentral:sRNA from 1 species